rnacentral:rRNA from 1 species
CAUGAAGCUGGAAUCGCUAGUAAUCGCGAAUCAGAAUGUCGCGGUGAAUACGUUCCCGGGUCUUGUACACACCGCCCGUCACACCAUGGGAGUCAGCAACGCCCGAAGCCGGUGACCCAACCGAAAGGAGGGAGCCGUCGAAGGUGGGGCCGAUAACUGGGGUGAAGUCGUAACAAGGUAAC